rnacentral:lncRNA from 1 species
CAGUUUUACUUUUUGGGAUUUUAUUGCCUGCUAAUGUGGUCCUCUGGAGGAUCUAUAAAACAUUACUGGGCAGAUUAUUCAGUUGGUAAUAUAACUAAUUUCUUGAACUGGCAGGGAUAUAUACAUCAUGUACAGAAAACAAAUAUGAGGAGAUAAAAAAUUCAAAAUGUCAGAACCAUUGGGGAAAUUAGGUUAAAAUUUGGCUUUUUGGAACCUUAAAUGUAGGAUUACCAUAAGGGUUACAUAAAAUAUCUUAUAAUAGUCUAUUUUAACUGACCAUGCUUUUCAUGCCUUAGUAUGUCUGCACAACUUCUGGGAUCUUUCCAAAGUACAGAUUCUGAUUCAGAAAGUCUGUGGUGGGACCUGAGAUUCUGAACAUCUUAAUGAGCUUCCAGGUGCUGCUAGUCUCUGCACAUUGAGUCACAAGGUGUAUUAUCUAAAGAGUUACACUCACACAGGAAUUAUAGAGAAUUGUGUUGAUAAGUACAGCCAAGAUAGAGAUAUAGUGGGCAAGCCAUCUGGGAACAUGCAUUCAUGUCACACUGCCUACUUGCUUAGAAUCUGAAAAAACCACAUUGCCUACAACAAUUAAGAAACCUGGGCCGGGCAUGGUGGCUCACGCCUGUAAUCGCAACACUUUGGGAGGCCGAGGCAGGCAGAUCACAAGGUCAGGAGUUCAAGACCAGCCUGGCCAACAUGGUGAAACCCCGUCUUUACUAAAAAUACAAAAAUUAGCCAGGCAUGGUGGUAGGCCCCUAUAAUCCCAGCUACUCAGGAGGCUGAGUCAGGGGAAUUGUUUGAACCUGAGAGGCAGAGGUUGUGGUGAGCCAAGUUCGUGCAAUUGCACUCCAGCCUGGGCAGCAAGAGCAAAAUUCUGUCUCAAAAAAAACCUGGGCCCAAGUAUAUCAUGGUAUACAAGACUGCUGGAGUUAACAGAGCCUUUUCCCUCAGAAUUCUGGUGAUUAUAUAUAAAGUUUUUUUUACACGUUUUUGAUGUUUUAUAAAUAAUAUGCUAUGUCAAUUGAGAAAGGAGAAUAUUCUCUGGGAUUUUGCCCCGAGCACCAAUCAGGUUAGAAAGUGCCGUUGCUGCUGUUCUCAUGGGCACUGUU